AUUGAACGCUGGCGGCAGGCCUAACACAUGCAAGUCGAGCGGAAGAAGGCAGCUGGCUACUGGAUUCAGCGGCGGACGAGUAAGGCAUGCCUAGGCAUCUGCCUGGUAGUGGGAGAUAACGUCCGGAAACGGGCGCUAAUACUGCAUACGUCCUGAGGGAGCAAGUGUGGGCUCUUCGGAUCUCACGCUAUCAGAUAAGUCUAGGUCGGAUUAGCUAGUUGGGGGGGUAAAGACCUAUCAAGGCGACGAUCCGUAAAUGGUCUGAGAGGGUGAUCAGUCAGCCGGUAUCUGAGACUGAUCCCAGACUCCGGCGGGAAGCAGCAGUGGGGAAUAUUGGACGAUGGGCGAAAGACUGAUCCAUCCAUGCCGCGGAUAGGAAGAAGGUCUUAGGAUGGUAAAACACUGUAAGUUGGGGGGAAGGGCAGUAAGUUUAUACCUUGCUGUUUUGACGUUACCAUCAGAAUAAGCACCGGCUAACUUCGUG
rnacentral:rRNA from 1 species